GUGGUUGUAGCUCAGGGGUAGAGUGCUUGCCUAGCACAUGUGAGGCACUGGGUUCAAUCCUCAGCACCACA
rnacentral:tRNA from 1 species